rnacentral:rRNA from 1 species
AAUCAACGCUGGCGGCGUGGAUAAGACAUGCAAGUCGAGCGCUGAUUCAAGGGUAGCAAUAUUCUUGGGUCGGAGCGGCGCAAGGGUGCGUAACACGUGGGUAAUCUGCCGUGAAGCCCGGGAUAACUCGCUGAAAGGCGAGCUAAUACCGGAUGUGACGUUAGGGAGGCAUCUUCCUGACUUUGAAGCUGGGGACCGCAAGGCCUGGCACUCCACGANGAGCCCGCGGCCUAUCAGCUAGUUGGUGAGGUAACGGCUCACCAAGGCUAAGACGGGUAGCUGGUCUGAGAGGACGACCAGCCACACUGGAACUGAGACACGGUCCAGACACCUACGGGUGGCAGCAGUCGAGAAUUUUCUCAAUGGGCGCAAGCCUGAAGGAGCGACGCCGCGUGGGGAUGAAUGGCUUCGGCCCGUAAACCCCUGUCAUUUGCGAUCAAUGCUCAUGCGUGAACAACGCC